rnacentral:rRNA from 1 species
AUGACCGCUAUUGCGGCCGCUAUUGCGGUAGCGUGGCCUAGCCGCUACAAGUCGAACGCUGCGACGUGCACCCAACCGGACAACCCUAAAUCCACUCACUCCCUCUCCUCUCCGGUCGGCGGCUUGCGGCUGGCGACUCCCCAAGAUCCAGGGGCGGCAAGGCUGACGCUGGACGGUCGGAGGCCGGACGGAGAGACGAAGAAGAGAUCACGGGAUGGUGCUCCCCUGGCCCUCACCUUCUCCCCGUUCCUUGACUGGGCGGCCACUUCCUGCUCGGCUCGACGCCCUUCACCGGUCGCGGUCGACGACGCGCCAACACAUCAGCUUCGUUGGCUCGUGGGUCGUGGCAGACCCUCAGUAGGACGGCGACCACAUCCAUUGCGCUGUCCCCUUCCUGCUCCUCUGCUCGACGCCUUACUGCUCGACGUCCCAAUCUGGCUGCUCUGCUUCCCAACUGCUUCUUCUCACCAUGCUUCACCACCUCAAGGAGUCAAGGAUCAGGGGCUUCCUCCGCUGCCGCAACUGGAAGAACAAGAAAAGAUCCAGCCUGGGAGCAUGCUUUACCAAUUACUGAUGAGUUCAGAACCAAAGAACAGAGUUGGAUGCAAAUACUGCUUGAACUUUUUCAAUGGUGGCAUUACCAGACUUAAGAAGCACAUGCUUGGAAUAAAAAAGGAUUGUGUAUCUUGCACACAGGUUCCUGAUCAUGUUAAAGAGAAGAUGCUUGCAUUGAUAGCUGAGAAUGAGAAAAAAGAACGAUAA